CCUACGGGGCGCAGCAGUGAGGAAUAUUGGUCAAUGGCCGAGAGGCUGAACCAGCCAAGUCGCGUGAGGGAAGAAUGUCCUAUGGAUUGUAAACCUCUUUUGUCAGGGAGCAAAGUCACCCACGUGUGGGUGUUGGAGAGUACCUGAAGAAAAAGCACCGGCUAAUUCCGUGCCAGCAGCCGCGGUAAUACGGAGGAUGCGAGCGUUAUCCGGAUUUAUUGGGUUUAAAGGGUGCGUAGGCGGGUUAUUAAGUCAGCGGUAAAAUCGUGGAGCUCAACCCCGUCCAGCCGUGGAAACUGAUGAUCUUGAGUGGGCGGGAAGUAUGCGGAAUGCGUGGUGUAGCGGUGAAAUGCUUAGAUAUCACGAAGAACUCCGAUUGCGAAGGCAGUUCACUGGACUGCAACUGACGCUGAGGCUCGAAGGUGUGGGUAUCGAACAGGAUUAGAUACCCUUGUAGUC
rnacentral:rRNA from 1 species